rfam:Medicago truncatula strain A17 chromosome 7, whole genome shotgun sequence.
UUGCAAUGUAGCAUGCCCGUUUGAUGUUAAACUCUAAUGUUAUAUUAUUAUUAAUUGUAUUAUGGGAAACGGGGUGUUACAAUUGG